rnacentral:rRNA from 1 species
AGCGAACGCUGGCGGCAGGCCUAACACAUGCAAGUCGAACGAACCUUUCGGGGUUAGUGGCGGACGGGUGAGUAACACGUGGGAACGUGCCUUUAGGUUCGGAAUAACUCAGGGAAACUUGUGCUAAUACCGAAUGUGCCCUUCGGGGGAAAGAUUUAUCGCCUUUAGAGCGGCCCGCGUCUGAUUAGCUAGUUGGUUGAGGUAAUGGCUCACCAAGGCGACGAUCAGUAGCUGGUCUGAGAGGAUGAUCAGCCACAUUGGGACUGAGACACGGCCCAAACUCCUACGGGAGGCAGCAGUGGGGAAUCUUGCGCAAUGGGCGAAAGCCUGACGCAGCCAUGCCGCGUGAAUGAUGAAGGUCUUAGGAUUGUAAAAUUCUUUCACCGGGGACGAUAAUGACGGUACCCGGAGAAGAAGCCACGGCUAACUACGUG